rnacentral:tRNA from 5 species
GGGCGAAUGGCGGAAUUGGUAGACGCAGCGGACUCAAAAUCCGCCGGGAAACCUUAAGGGUUCGACUCCCUUUUCGCCCACCA